AGAACGAACGCUGGCGGCAGGCUUAACACAUGCAAGUUGAGCGGGAUUAGAUUGGUAGCUUGCUACUGAUUUAUGAGAGCAGCGCACUGGUGAGUAACACGUGGGAACAUACCUUUUGGUGGGGGACAACAGUUGGAAACGACUGCUAAUACCGCAUAAGCCCUAAGGGGGAAAGAUUUAUUGCCGAUAGAUUAGCCCGCGGCAGAUUAGGUAGUAGGUGGGGUAACGGCCUACCUAGCCGACGAUCUAUAGCUGGUCUGAGAGGACGAUCAGCCACAUUGGAACUGAGACACGGUCCAGACUCCUACGGGAGGCAGCAGUGAGGAAUAUGGGGCAAUGGAGGCAACUCUGACCCAGCCAUGCCGCGUGAGUGAAGAAGGUUUUCGGAUUGUAAAGCUCUUUCGGGAGAGAAGAUGAUGACGGUAUCUCCAGAAGAAGCCCCGGCAAACUUCGUGCCAGCAGCCGCGGUAAUACGAAGGGGGCGAGCGUUGUUCGGAAUUACUGGGCGUAAAGGGUGUGUAGGCGGUUUGAUAAGAUAGUGGUGAAAUACCUGAGCUCAACUUAGGAAUUGCCAUUAUAACUAUUGGGCUUGAAUGACAGAGAGGAUAGCGGAAUACCCAGUGUAGAGGUGAAAUUCGUAGAUAUUGGGUAGAACACCGGUGGCGAAGGCGGCUAUCUGCCUGUUAAUUGACGCUGAGGCACGAAAGCAUGGGGAUCAAACAGGAUUAGAUACCCUGGUAGUCCAUGCUGUAAACGAUGAAUGCUAGUUGUCGGUGGAUAUCGGUGACGAAGCAAACGCGAUAAGCAUUCCGCCUGGGGAGUACGGCCGCAAGGUUAAAACUCAAAGGAAUUGACGGGGACCCGCACAAGCGGUGGAGCAUGUGGUUUAAUUCGAUGCAACGCGAAGAACCU
rnacentral:rRNA from 1 species